CAGGUCGGGAUUACAUCUGGGGAAUUGGAAAAAUCGGUUUGAAAUGUGAAGGUUGUACUCGUAGCUGUAGCGUUGAGCUUUUCUUUUCAACAAUCAGCAUGUAUCUUUAAACUCUUUAAAAAAGUUUAUCUAUCCAUGGAGAAUGCUUUAUUUAGCUUUUUUUACUUACUAUUUAUGUUACAUCUAUAAUACAUAUUUUAUCUGUGUAUAAUUGCAUUAUUUAAUUGCGUAAUUAAUCUGUAGUAUUAAAUGUACUGUAAAAUAAUACAUAAUGCAAAUGUAUCAGAAGAUUCCGCAUUCGUUUUUCAAUACAAAUUAUUAUAUAUACUCCUUUAUAAAUGCAAAAUUUCUUUUUAAAAUACCUGUUGGAGUAUAAAAUAUCUGUCUACAGCAAUUUGGUUCCCUAAUGGCGAAGCGGUAAAGUCGCUGAACACUCCUAGUUGGAAUUUCGAAUUUGUUUUAUUGUCUAUUUCAUAUUUUAUAAAACUUUAAAGAUAUUUUGAUUAACAAAUUCAGCGAUUUUGAAAGCGAGCAGUGGCAACACUGCACGAAAAAAAAAUUAUCUACAGCGUGCGAGACUGUCUAUCGGAAAUUCUAAAGAUAUGCUGUUUUUAAAUAUUUUUAUCCCAAAAAGACAUUAGCCCAAGUGCUCCCGAAACGUGUUUUUGUGUAAAUGCAAAAAAUGCACCUUUGGGCAUAAUAUGAAAUCUGAUUCGGAUUUCCUUCCCCAUUUUUAGUUCUUUUAAAGUUAGUUGUAAUUGCAAUGAUCAUGGUAUUUCUUAUUAAGGGAAUACUAAUUUGUGAGACUUGGAUAUAACAAAUGUAAGACCGAAUCCUGAAUAUUAAAAUGAAGAAAUAAAUAGGCAUAUUAAAA